GUCAGGGAACCGGUGCGACGAUGUCCGAUGACGAAGACGACCCAAUAGACCGCGAUGCCAACCUGUUUGACGGAGGCUUGGAUGGUCCAGACAACAUGGGAUUUGGCCCUCUCAUUCCAACGGAGACAGAACGAUCGUUAAUGGAACGCGUGAGGCAAGAAUUGAAGCACAAGUUGAAGCAGGGUACAAAGAAAAAAUUGUCGAUAUAAGAGAGGAAAUUUUACGCAAGAUGGAGCGGGAAAGCUUCCAGGGGAUACUACGUCAGUCCUAAAAGCCUGGUGGCAGUCGCACGCUAGAUGGCCAUACCCUACGGAGGAAGACAAGGCGAAGCUGGUGCAGGAAACCGGUUUGCAAUUGAAGCAGAUAAAUAAUUGGUUCAUCAACCAGAGGAAAAAAAAACUGGCACGGCAACCUUCUUCGUCGUCCGUCUGAAAGAGCGAAUGCAAAAGAUCCCUCAAAAUAGACAUCGCUUCAUUAAUGCAAAACUUCCUCGAUAUUCCAUUUCCUUGCAUGCUAAGUUUGAAAAGCAGCAGCAAUUGAUCCCUUGAUGUGGAUUUGAGCAACGAUCAAGUUCUAACAGACAAUAUUCGGUGCUUCACUAGAAUGGUUACUUAAAGAGUUUAUACAAGGAACAUUGGCCAGUGGCCUCAUACAGAGCUUCAUCAAACAGGAACAUUUGGAAGACUUUGAUUCUAGGAAAAAGAGAAUAUGUUAGUGAAGAGGACGGCUCUCGCCUCGUGAUAGAAUUUCUGAAGGCACUGAAUUGACCAUAUAUGUGAUCGUGAUCAUUGAGGGGGUAUUGAGCUAGGAAAUUACGAGAAGUAAUUUCAGAUGGUUUCAUUGUCUCUACUGCUUGUCUACUUUGCAUUUUAUGAAUAUAUAGGUGUAGUUAAAUAUUUGUGUACAGUCGGUAUAAUAUUAUCUGCAUAGUUCCUCUCCAUUGCUGCUGAUUACAUCUAUGGCUUUUCUUGGCUCUCCAAUGUAGUGUAGAUUGACUGUAAGAGUAACAUACAGUUUAUGCAGUGAUAGGUUACUGGGUUUGUAUUGCUA